UACGAAGGGGGGCUAGCGUUGCUCGGAAUCACUGGGCGUAAAGGGUGCGUAGGUGGCGUGGAAAGUCAGAUGUGAAAGCCCGGGGCUCAACCUCGGAAUUGCAUCCGAUACUACCAUGCUAGAGUACUGAAGAGGUGACUAGAAUUCUCGGUGUAGCAGUGAAAUGCGUAGAUAUGCGGAGGAACACCAAUGGCGAAGGCAAUCUCCUGGACCUGCACUGACGCUCAUGCACGAAAGCGUGGGGAGCAAACAGG
rnacentral:rRNA from 1 species